AGAGAAAUGACUCUUGAAAAUUGUCCUCUGACCUGUACAUGUGCACUGUGAUAUGAGACUAUGCUCACACACACACACACACACUACUAAAUGCCAUUAAAAAAAAAAAGAAUUCAAAGAGUUUGGCCUGAAAUCUGGGUAGGAUCCACUAUAGAACUAGAGCCAAAAUAUUAUACAACCCUGUGCCUCAGAUCUCACGAGACAGUGGGCUUCCUGACCUGAAAGAAGGAAGAAGUGCAGGGGAGCAGAAAGGGUCAGAGUUGGAAGCAGAGCCCCUGCUUUGGUUACGUGGUUCACGGAGCCUUCGGAGUGCAGAGCCCUGCAGCUACCUGGGGCCAUUCUUCUGGCUUCAGGGAGGCGUGGGCAAGAAGGAACACAUCAUGGCCUCAUGCUUUGACCUAGUUCCUCAUUCAAGGACAUUGUCCCUCCAGAGACCGGGAUGUUUCCCUCCAUGGCCUCCUUCGGGUCUUCACUCGGUUGGCAGCUUCUUCAUGAGGCCUUCCAUGAUCCUUCUACACCUCAUCCCUCCCGGCAAUGGCAAUGCACACCCCAUUCUCUCAGCCUCCACUCACUAUUGUACUGCGUUCCGCACCGUGUGUAUGGGGUUCCCCUGGAUGCAGUUCCGAGAGCGGCCAGAAGAGGGCACAAGACCCCGGGACUGGAGUUAACAGACACUUGUGGGCUGCCCUGUUGGUUCCGGGGUAAUGAGUAGGAGUCCUCUGAAAGAGCAGCCGGUGUUUUUAAACACAGAGCAGUCGCUCCAGCCCCUGAUUUACCCUCCUUUAAAAGUUUCAUAUGUGAGCCGGGUGCGGUGGCCUAGGCCUUUAUCCCAGCACUCAGGGAGGUAGGGGCAGGCAUAUCACUGUGAGUUCAAGGCCAGCCUGGUCUACAAAGCGAAUCCAGGACAGCCAAGGCUGCUACACAGAGAAACCUUGUCUCAAAGACAAACAAACAAAAAUGGCGUGUAUGUUUCUAUCUGUGGUGUGUGUAUAUGUUUCUGUAUGUUUGUGUGCAUGCACACCCAUGUGGGGCGGGGUCUUCAUCUGGUGUCUUCCUUGAUAGCACUCCACAUUAUUAUUAUUAUUAUUAUUAUUAUUAUUAUUAUUAUUAUUAUUUUGUUUUUCAAGACAGGGUUUCCCAGCUGUCCUGGAACUCACUCUGUAGACCAGGCUGGCUUUGAACUUACAGAAAUCUGCCUGCCUCUGCCUCCCAAGAGCUGGGGUUCAAGCCCUGUGGCACUACUGCCCAGCUUUAUUUAAUUUUUGAGACGAGAUUUUUCACUGUGCUUGGAGCGCACUGAUCGGCUAGGCUUUAUGGCUAAUUAGCUGCAGGAGCCUUCUGUCAUUACCCACGCAGAUUCGUACAUAAAUAUGGAGCCUUAAUUGAGAAAAGGCCUCCGUAAGAUCAGGCUGUGGGCAAGCCUGUAGGGCAUUUUUUUAAUUAGUGGUUGAUGGGGGAGGGCCCAGCCCUUUGUGGGUGAGGCCACCCCUGGGCUGCUGGUCCUGGGUUCUAUUUAGAAAGCAGGCUGAGCGAGCCAGGGGGAGCAAGCCAGUGAGCAGCGCCCUCCAUGGCCUCCGCAUCAGCUCCUGCCUCCAGGUUCCUGCCCUGUUUGAGUUCCUGUCCUGCCUUCUUUCCAUGAUGAACCGUAAUGUGGAAGUGUAAGCCAAAUAAACCCUUUCCUCCCCAGGUUGCCUUUG